CGCGUGACUUAUUUCCUGAGCAUUUACACUUCACUUUACUCUUUUUCUCUUCUCUCUCUUCCCUCGCACUCUCACUCCCUCCCCGCUUUUUCUUCGCACGCCGAACACUUCCUUGUCUCUGUCUCCGCUUCCAAACAUGGCCGAAGAUUCUUCUGUUUCUACUGCCCCACCGCCAGAAGUCCAGGCUCCGUCACCUCCACCUGUGGUUGAAAAGAAGGAAAUAGAAGCCUCUCUGCCUGCUCCACCUUCAGUUGUGGAAGAGUCUGAAUCGCCGGUCAUAAUAGAGAAAGAAGAGCCACCACGGCCAACUACACCGCCGCAAGAGUCUAAAUCACUGGCGGCUAUGAUGGAGAAAGAUGAGUCUUUCUUUUCUCCUCUGCCGUCUUCGGCUGCGGAGGAGAAAGGUGAGGAAAUGGCCGAGUCUGUAGUUAGUAGAGAAGAGGUUGUUGUGGUUGAGGCUGGGAAAGAGAAGCAAAUUGAAGAGCAAAAGAUUCCUCAGACUUUGGUUUCGUUCAAGGAGGAGAGUAACAUAGUGGCUGAUCUCUCUGAUUUUGAGAGGAAAGCUUUGGAAGAACUGAAGCAGUUG
rnacentral:misc_RNA from 1 species